ACUUGUACCGACUGGAUGAGCAGCGAACGGGUGAGUAACGCGUGGGGAAUCUGCCUUUGAGCGGGGGACAACAUUUGGAAACGAAUGCUAAUACCGCAUAAAAACUUUAAACACAAGUUUUAAGUUUGAAAGAUGCAAUUGCAUCACUCAAAGAUGAUCCCGCGUUGUAUUAGCUAGUUGGUGAGGUAAAGGCUCACCAAGGCGAUGAUACAUAGCCGACCUGAGAGGGUGAUCGGCCACAUUGGGACUGAGACACGGCCCAAACUCCUACGGGAGGCAGCAGUAGGGAAUCUUCGGCAAUGGACGAAAGUCUGACCGAGCAACGCCGCGUGAGUGAAGAAGGUUUUCGGAUCGUAAAACUCUGUUGGUAGAGAAGAACGUUGGUGAGAGUGGAAAGCUCAUCAAGUGACGGUAACUACCCAGAAAGGGACGGCUAACUACGUGCCAGCAGCCGCGGUAAUACGUAGGUCCCGAGCGUUGUCCGGAUUUAUUGGGCGUAAAGCGAGCGCAGGUGGUUUAUUAAGUCUGGUGUAAAAGGCAGUGGCUCAACCAUUGUAUGCAUUGGAAACUGGUAGACUUGAGUGCAGGAGAGGAGAGUGGAAUUCCAUUGGGAACGG
rnacentral:rRNA from 1 species